GGGACGGUGGAAGAGCCUGGCCUACCACCUCUCUCGGCGGGUUUUCACCGGGUCUCCGGUUCGACGCCGAGAGUUGCUUCGUCACGCUUCGGUGAACACGCAGGUUCGAAUCCUGCCCGUCCCA
rnacentral:tRNA from 1 species